rnacentral:lncRNA from 1 species
AUGCCAAGUGUUCAUUGCAUUCUGCUGACAACCCCUGGUGCCAUUACCAAGCAAGUGUUUAAGAUUUCCAGAGAACCUACUGGAAUAGCUCCCACUGAAUUCAGUGUGUACAAGAUCGGACUUGCCGGGGUGUUUGUUCCAGGGCAUAGAAUACUUCUGCUUCUGAGAUUUCCUGGUAAGGUGAAUUUUGUUUGACAUAGAAAAAAUAUUUUCCAAUCACAUUUCCAUUAGUAUCUAUUAAUUCACUACAGCAAACUUCCAAACUAGCCCCUGCUGUUUCCUGACCUUUGACCAAAUGUUCUAAUAGCUUCCCUAUUAAUAGUAAGUAGAUGCAGUAUUUCAGGUAGUACUAACUUUGUAACAAGUAUUGUAUCUAAUUUAUUUUUUCCUUUUUUUUUUUCAUCAGGGACUAUUCUGAUUCUGCAGGAGUUUGAGUGAAAAAAAUAGCACAGAAGAUGAAUUGUUGCAUUAAUUAAAAAAAGAAAAAGUCAUGACGUCAAUAUGCAACCAAAAAUUUUUCUUACAGGAAUCUCUAAGUUAUGAAAACGUUUAUAAAAUGUGAAGGUCAAGCCCCCAGUACUGUUCACUGCAGUUUUUGCAGAGUGAUUGGGUUUGAUCUGUUUGCUCCAUGUGGUGCUUAGAGCUUGAACAUUCUCAGCAAUGGUUGGACUUUGCAUUCAAGUUCUGACAAUUUACACAGGUGCCAGUCUAAAAGUUUAAGCAACAUGGGCAUCAAGUUUUCUCGUGCAGAAGUAUUGAAUUCAGUAGAGUUUCUCUCAUUUAUCUAGAAAGGAAUUUAGUAUUGUUUUUUUUCUAGUUUUAGUGACUUUACUGAGUGGAAAAGGAAAAUAACAUCAUGAUACUAGCGGUUACCUUUGUCAUUACAAAAUAUGAUUCUUUUUUUCAGUGAUGUUUAAAUGGAUUUAUUUGUUCACAUUUUACUUAUGCAGACACAGGUCUACUGCCUCACUGGAAUCCAGGAAGGGAAAAGUAGGGUUUUGAAGCGCGUAGCUGCUCUUACCCUAAUUCCACAUAGGAGGCCAACUCGAGCCUGAAGUGCAAGGAAAGUCAGAGGGGCUCAGCAGAAACUGUGCCUGUGGUGUGAGGUUUAGUUUGCAGCUCUGAAAAGUGUGGGUGCCACGGUGCCCUGUGCCUUGAAAGGGAGCAGCCUUAUGCAGGGCUUGCUGUGCCAUGU